rnacentral:rRNA from 1 species
UCCGCACGAGCGCACCCUUAUCCUUAGUUGCCAGCACGUUAAUGGUGGGAACUCUAAGGAGACUGCCGGUGACAAACCGGAGGAAGGUGGGGACGACGUCAAGUCAUCAUGGCCCUUACGAGAUGGGCUACACACGUGCUACAAUGGCAAGUACAAAGGGUUGCAAACUCGCGAGAGUAAGCGGAUCCCAUAAAGCUUGUCGUAGUCCGGAUUGGAGUCUGCAACUCGACUCCAUGAAGUCGGAAUCGCUAGUAAUCGUGGAUCAGAAUGCCACGGUGAAUACGUUCCCGGGCCUUGUACACACCGCCCGUCACACCAUGGGAGUGGGCUGCAAAAGAAGUGGAUAGCUUAACCUUCGGGAGGGCGUUCACCACUUUGUGGUUCAUGACUGGGGUGAAGUCGUAACAAGGUAGCCGUAGGGGAACCUGCGGCUGGAUCA